AGAACGAACGCUGGCGGCGUGGAUAAGACAUGCAAGUCGAACGGAUCUGUUUGCGUAGCAAUACGUGAGCAGGUUAGUGGCGCAAGGGUGCGUAACACGUGGGCAACCUGCCCUGGGGUUCAGGAUAGCCCGCCGAAAGGCGGAUUAAUACUGGAUGUGGCUACCGGCUGAUUAGCCGGGACGCUAAAGGUGGCGCAAGCUGCCGCUCCUGGAUGGGCCCGCGGCCUAUCAGCUCGUUGGUGAGGUAACGGCUCACCAAGGCUAUGACGGGUAGCUGGUCUGAGAGGACGACCAGCCACACUGGAACUGAGACACGGUCCAGACACCUACGGGUGGCAGCAGUCGAGAAUUUUUCGCAAUGGGGGCAACCCUGACGGAGCGACGCCGCGUGGAGGAUGAAGGUCUUCGGAUUGUAAACUCCUGUCAUUGGUGAACAAAGCACUGAGUUAACUGCCUUGGUGCCUGCUAGUAGCCGAAGAGGAAGGACG
rnacentral:rRNA from 1 species